rnacentral:rRNA from 1 species
AGCCAUUAUACCGCGAAACUGCGAAUGGCUCAUUAUAUAAGUUAUCGUUUAUUUGAUAGUACCUUACUACUUGGAUACCCGUGGUAAUUCUAGAGCUAAUACAUGCUAAAAAUCCCGACUUCGGAAGGGAUGUAUUUAUUAGAUUAAAAACCAAUGCCCUUCGGGGCUCACUGGUGAUUCAUGAUAACUCCUCGAAUCGCAUGGCCUUGCGCCGGCGAUGGUUCAUUCAAAUUUCUUCCCUAUCAACUUUCGAUGUUUGGGUAUUGGCCAAACAUUGUUGCAACGGGUAACGGAGGGUUAGGGCUCGACCCCGGAGAAGGAGCCUGAGAAACGGCUACUACAUCCAAGGAAGGCAGCAGGCGCGCAAAUUACCCAAUCCCGACAGGGGGAGGUAGUGACAAUAAAUACUGAUACAGGGCUCUUUUGGGUCUUGUAAUUGGAAUGAGUACAAUUUAAAUCCCUUAACGAGGAACAAUUGGAGGGCAAGUCUGGUGCCAGCAGCCGCGGUAAUUCCAGCUCCAAUAGCGUAUAUUAAAGUUGUUGUGGUUAAAAAGCUCGUAGUUGACCCUUGGGCCUGGCUGGCCGGUCCGCCUCACCGCGUGUACUGGUCCGGCCGGGCCUUUCCCUCUGUGGAACCCCAUGCCCUUCACUGGGCGUGGCGGGGAAACAGGACUUUUACUGUGAAAAAAUUAGAGUGCUCCAGGCAGGCCUAUGCUCGAAUACAUUAGCAUGGAAUAUUAGAAUAGGACGUGUGGUUCUAUUUUGUUGGUUUCUAGGACCGCCGUAAUGAUUAAUAGGGACAGUCGGGGGCAUCAGUAUUCAAUUGUCAGAGGUGAAAUUCUUGGAUUUAUUGAAGACUAACUACUGCGAAAGCAUUUGCCAAGGAUGUUUUCAUUAAUCAGGAACGAAAGUUAGGGGAUCGAAGACGAUCAGAUACCGUCGUAGUCUUAACCAUAAACUAUGCCGACUAGGGAUCGGACGGUGUUAUUUUUUGACCCGUUCGGCACCUUACGAGAAAUCAAAGUGCUUGGGCUCCAGGGGGAGUAUGGUCGCAAGGCUGAAACUUAAAGAAAUUGACGG